rnacentral:lncRNA from 1 species
GCCAUGACUCUGCCUCUCUGCGUGGCAUUUGUGUCCCCGGAUCUCCAUGGUGGCCUGCCCUCUGGAUGACCAGGAAGACCCCCUCCCCACCCCCAGACUCCCAGGGAUACGGAAGUGCUUCAAGGCGGUGAGCAGGUGGAGUGCCCAGCACCUGGGCUGCUCAGGUGUGAACGGGUCUCUGCCCUCUUCCAGGGUGGCAAGGUGUUGUCGCAGGGACCUGCAGGGUCCUAGCGGGCGCCUGAGCUGCCUGGAUCAGGGAUCUCUUUCCUCAGAGAGUGCGCAGUCCGAGCAGGAAGGAUGAGUCCUGGGCUGUGGGAGUAGGGGGCUGGGAGCACCCUCCCCAGAGCCUCAUCCUGAGCUCACAGUGGGUGCGGAAGGGCGCCUCCUCCCAGCGCCUCACCUAGGCUGGUCCCUGCUCCAUAAAGGAUAAGGCAGGGCAUUUCUAUGGCAACACUUCUCCUCCCGGCAAUGCUAGGGGUUCUGCUGUGUCCGCCCCCGCCCCAACUUUAUCUGUUGAAACUUUAACCAACCCCUGGCACCCCAGGAUGUGACUGUAUUUGGAGACAGGGUUUUAAAGAGGUGACUAAGUUAUAAUGAAGUCACAGAAGGGGUCCCUAAUCCCGUAUGACAGAUGUCCCCAUAAGAAGAGGAGAUUAUAGAGUUCCCGUGGUGGCUCAGUGGGUUAAGAACCUGACUAGUAACCAUGAGGAUGCAAGUUUGAUCCCUGGCCUCACUCAGUGGGUUAAGGAUCCUGCAUUGCCAUGAACUGCGGUGUAGGUCACAGAUGCGGCUUGGAUCCUGCUAGCCUGGAACUUCCAUAUGCCGCAGGUGCAGCCCUAAAAAAAACAACAACAAAAGGCCAAGGAGAGAGACCCCAGAGGAAACCCUCCCUGCGGAUGCCUUGAUCUCAGACUUGUAGCUUCCAGGUUGGUGAGGAAAUAAAUUUCCAUUGUCUGGAGCCUCCAGUCUGGGGGCCUCUGUUACGACAGCGCCAGCCGACUCAUUCAAAUGACCUCACUCAGUGAAGGUUGCAGUGAGCUCCCAGAGAUAACGCCCACACUCUUCUGUGACCACGAGGGACGAAUAAACAGAAGUGCCCUUCAAAGACUCAUAAGUCAGAAAGGCCUCGGGACUCGGAGAUGGUUAUUUGGUUACGUGAUGACCUUACUGACAACCAGGGUUUCAGAGCUUGAAUUUCCCAGAAGCACAAGGUGCUCUUGCUGAUGUCAGAGGACCAGGCUGGCUCGGCAGAAGCUGAUGUUGGUGCAUGUAGAUUUUCCACGUGGAGAAGAAGAACCACGGGUCCAGAGUUGCGUUAAAGGGCUCACGUCUGUGGGGAGGUUCGUGGGUUUUAAAGUUUAAAAAAACUCAUGGCUGCCUUAGGCUUUGGCCAGGAUUUUUAGAAAUGUGCCUGACGUGACAGCACAGAGAGAAUAAUAAAAUGAAGUCCAACCUUGACAUUUUACAAGGUACUCGGCAGCACUUUAAAUUUCAGGGCGUUUCACUGAUGACCCAGCAGUGCCUCCGCGGGCUUUGGGGACACGUGCCCGCCCCACCCCUCACGCCCCCACCCCAGCUCUCUCUGCCUUAAAUUGCUGGGCAAAUAACAGCCUCCAGCUGGGCUCUGCUUGCCUAAGCCUGAACCUGCCUCUGCCUUCUGAGAAAGUCCAGGCGAUUUUGUUGGUUUCCGCAGUAAGUGGCUGCAGUCCUGCACGAAGCCCACAGCAGGUGGGGUCACCUCCCGGGGGCCACGCUGCCCAGGUGAGUGAACACUCACGGCCUGGAGCUUCCAGGGCGGGAGGUGCAGGGUUUGUGGCUACCUGGCCCCAUCGCUUCACUUUUGGGGCCUCUGUUUUCCUCUACAAAGAGCAGAAAAAUAGUAACAGCCAAAGGACCUGUGCAGGAAUUAGGCUAGUAAAUACUCAGGGUCUGUUUCCUUCCUUCCCCAUCCUGCCCCUUGAAGGCAGAACCGUGGCUUCUCCUGGGCUCCCCUCACCUCGCCCAGCACAAUGCUGGUGCACGCUGAGACCAGGGUGCAGUGUUGAUGGGAGUUCCCGUCGUGGUUUAGCGGGUUAGGAACCGACUAGUAUCCAUGAAGAUGCAGGUU